CCACUCUCCCUCCCUCAUUCACUCUCAUCUGAUUUUUUAAGACUCUCUCAAGUGUUCUCUCCAUUUUCAACCCCAAGAACACCAAAGAAACUUGGAGGCUAAGUCUUGGUCUAGGAAGUAUUUUCCCUAAGUUGGUUAGGGUUUUUGAAAGGUUUUGGAGGAGCCAAAGCUAAUAGGAAGGUCCAAACCUUAAGCAAGAACACCAAAGAGGUAAGUGCAAGGGCAAGGCAGAGCAGUGAGCGCUGGAGUCUUCCUUGCAAAUGUAUAUGUGGACCGACCUUUUGGGAAGCCUUUUUAUUUUUGGAAAUGUUGUGUAA